rnacentral:rRNA from 1 species
GAUGAACGCUAGCGGCAGGCCUAACACAUGCAAGUCGAGGGAGAAGCCCUUUCGGGGGCAGAAACCGGCGCACGGGUGCGUAACGCGUAUGCAACCUACCUUUCACAGGGGGAUAGCCCGAAGAAAUUUGGAUUAAUACCCCAUAAUAUUAUUGGAUGGCAUCAUUUGAUAAUUAAAACUGCGGUGGUGAAAGAUGGGCAUGCGUCCUAUUAGCUAGUUGGAGUGGUAACGGCACCCCAAGGCUACGAUAGGUAGGGGUCCUGAGAGGGAGAUCCCCCACACUGGUACUGAGACAGGGACCAGACUCCUACGGGAGGCAGCAGUGAGGAAGAUUGAUCAAUGGUCGGAAGACUGAACCAGCCAUGCCGCGUGCAGGAAGAAUGCCUUAUGGGUUGUAAACUGCUUUUAUAUGGGAAGAAUAAGGUGUACGUGUACAUUGAUGACGGUACCAUAUGAAUAAGCAUCGGCUAACUCCGUG